rnacentral:rRNA from 1 species
UACGUAGGCAGCAAGCGUUGUUCGGAGUUACUGGGCGUAAAGGGUGUGUAGGCGGUUCUUUAAGUUUGGGGUGAAAUCUCCCGGCUCAACUGGGAGGGUGCGCCGAAUACUGAGGGACUAGAGUACGGGAGAGGAAAGUGGAAUUCCUGGUGUAGCGGUGAAAUGCGUAGAUAUCAGGAGGGACACCGGUGGUGUAGACGGCUUUCUGGACCGACACUGACGCUGAAACACGAAAGCGUGGGUAGCAAACAGG